AGCCCUGCAGGAGAGAGUCAAGGUCUGCCCAGCUGAUUCGGAGAACACACCCAGCCCGGCAGCAUGUGUUCAGGUGUCCCUCCCCCACCGUUGCUCCAUCCUGCAGCUGCUCUCGGGACCAUCCUGCUGGCUGUGCAGUGGGGGAGGGGGCUGAUGUCCGGGCAUCCCCCUGUCCCCCCAGCCCCUGUACCCCGUCUCCACAGGGCAGAGGGGACACAGCCUGGCUCAGGACUCGGAGCUGCCGGGAAGGGCCCAGUGAAGCGCCUGGCAACGAUAAGACUACAAUGACAGAUUAGGUGUUAGACCGGCAUCUGAGGGGGUCCGGAGCACUGCUGCAAGCUGCUUUAUGUGGCUCUCCCAAUCUGGACUGUAGAUAAUGAUGUCAUCCAGCAGGAGGUGCUGUGCUGGUGAGUCAUUGCAUCACUACACAGAGGUUACAGAAAGCUUCCAGAUGGACAGUGGGAGGAGGAUGCAAGGGAAUAUGGUGAAACUCACCAGAGGAAGAGCAUCUCAGAUUCCUGGAGAUGGAGUUUAGGGAUUGUGCUAUCACAGUAAAAAGAACAUCUUAUCUUCAUUGAUAAGAGAGUCUCUGGGAUGGGCUCAUCGAGAGGCGCAUGCACAGCACAACUGAGACUAUUCAAGAAAUGCCACCUGCUGCACACAGUUGGAAUGACUGACAGAUUGGCGCUUAUUCCAUUCUUCCGUUUAGACCACCUAUUGAGCAAGGGACGUUGGACAGUGAUCAUAAUGGGAUAAAUAUCGUCACAGAAAAUGUUAAGUACACCCAUUCUGUAUGUAUGUGCAUGUAGACUGAAAAAAUCAGUCUGUAAUAUGUGAAUAGUUAGGGCAGCUAUGCAGCAGAAUGGGCCUGAGCCAGUACACACUGAAAUCAAUAGCAAAUCUCCCAUUUAUUCCAUUUACUAAUAUUUGGAAUUCUACUAUUUUGUCUUUAAAUUGUAGAUAUACAAAUGUGUGUUUGUAUAAACACACUUCCCCCCCUUAAGUUACAGCAGUGACCGCUAAAUAAAUUCCCAGGCGAGAUCACCACUUGGUAACAUUUGUGCACAGUUUAGCUGUCACCACUCUAAGUCGUCGUCUUUUGAAAAUGCAUUCCUUUCACUAGGAUGUUUCUGGUCUGCUAAAUAUCUAUGAAUAUUGUCGGGGGGAGGUAAAAUGUGCUGUCUGGAUCAUAUAAUAUUCAGCAAAUAUUCCUGUUUUUGUUGAAUUUAUUCUGCGAAUUUUUUUUCUCAAGGGUUCGACCAGCUCCAGUGUUGACAUAAUGGAAAUUAAAUUCAUGCUGCUUUUCCCCCUGAAUCUGUAUGCAACUGACUGCAAUGUAACAGAAUGCUUUCUGGUUCAUAAAAAACUGAUUAAAUAAAUCAUGGAAUGUAACUUC